rnacentral:RNase_P_RNA from 1 species
CAGGUCGGUCGGGUGAUCGCGGCUCUGCUUUGUCAGGGCUGAGGAAAGUCCGCACUCCAGAGAGCACGACGUCGGGUAAUACCCGGGGCGGGGUAACCCGCCGGAAAGGGCCACAGAAACAUACCGCCUUGCCACAAACGGCAGGGUAAGGGUGAAACGGUGGUGUAAGAGACCACCGGCAUCCGCAGCAAUGCGGUUGGCCAGGUAACCCCCGUCGGGAGCAAGGCCAAGCAGGAACAAGCGCGCAAGCGGGGAGGCUGCUCGUCUCCUGGGGUUUCCCCCGAGUUCCGGGUAGGCCGCAUGAGGUGCGCGGCUACGCGUGCCCUUAGAGAGAUGAUCACCCAAGCGGCUGCCAAGUUGCGCUGCGGCGCGAUGGGGCAGCACCGCUGGACAGAAUGCGGCUUAUAGACCGGCCUGGGUU